rnacentral:rRNA from 1 species
AUGAUUAUCUCCAAGCCACCACUCCGCCCCUCUUUCCACUCGCCCUCCCUCGCCGCCGGCCCGCUCCGCCGCCACCGCCACCCCCACCCCCACCCCCACCUCGCCAACAAGCCCUUCUCCGUCGCCGUCGCCGUCGCGGCCUCCCCGUCCGACCUCCUCGCCAGCGUCCAGUCCGUCGCGUCCGCCGCGUCGGUCCUCGCGUCCAUCGUGCUCGUCCACGAGUCCGGCCACUUCGUCGCCGCCACCUCCCGGGGCAUCCACGUCUCCCAGUUCUCCAUCGGCUUCGGCCCCGCCCUCGCCAGCUUCCGCCUCGGCGCCGUCGAGUACGCGCUCCGGGCCAUCCCGCUCGGCGGCUACGUCGGCUUCCCCGACGACGACCCCGAGUCCGGCUUCGCGCCCGACGACCCCGACCUCCUCCGCAACCGCCCCGUCCCGGACCGCCUCCUCGUCGUCUCCGCGGGGGUCAUCGCCAACCUCAUCUUCGCCUUCCUCAUCAUCUACGCCCAGGCGGUCACCGUCGGCGUCCCCGUCCAGGCGCUGCUCUCCGGCGUCCUCGUCCCCGACGUCGUGCCCGGCUCCGCCGCCGCGCGCUCCGGGCUGCUCGCCGGCGAUGUCAUCCUCGCCGUCCCCGGCGCCGCGCCGGACCCGUCCGUGCCGGCCCUGGUCGACCUCAUCAAAUCCAGCCCCAACAAGAAGGUCCUCCUCAAGGUGUCAAGAGCCGGGCCUGCGGCCGGGGACAAGCCGCAGUUCCUCGACCUCACCGUCGUGCCGGACACGAGCGUCGACGGGACGGGGCGCAUCGGCGUGCAGCUGUCGCCCAACUACCGGGCCACGCGCGUGCACCCAAGGAACGCGUCCGAGGCCACCGUCCUCGCCGUGCGCGAGUUCAGGGCGCUGGGCGGGGCCGUGCUCGACGGGCUCCGGCAGACGUUCCUCAACUUCUCGCAGACGGCGGAGAAGGUGUCGGGCCCGGUCGCCAUAAUCGCCGUCGGCGCGGAGGUGGCGAGGUCGAGCGCCGACGGGCUGUUCCAGUUCGCGGCGAUCAUCAACCUCAACCUCGCGGCGAUCAACCUGCUGCCGCUGCCGGCGUUGGACGGCGGGACGCUGGCGCUGAUCCUUCUGGAGGCGGCCCGCGGCGGGCAGAAGAUCCCCCGUGAGAUCGAGCGGAGGAUAAUGUCGUCGGGGAUAUUGCUGGUGCUCAUGGUCAGCAUGUUCCUCAUCGUGCGCGACACGCUCAAUCUAGACUUCAUCAAACAGAAUAUGUAG